UGGGGAAUAUUGCACAAUGGGCGCAAGCCUGAUGCAGCCAUGCCGCGUGUGUGAAGAAGGCCUUCGGGUUGUAAAGCACUUUCAGCGGGGAGGAAGGCGAUAAGGUUAAUAACCUUGUCGAUUGACGUUACCCGCAGAAGAAGCACCGGCUAACUCCGUGCCAGCAGCCGCGGUAAUACGGAGGGUGCAAGCGUUAAUCGGAAUUACUGGGCGUAAAGCGCACGCAGGCGGUCUGUCAAGUCGGAUGUGAAAUCCCCGUGCUCAACCUGGGAACUGCAUUCGAAACUGGCAGGCUAGAGUCUUGUAGAGGGGGGUAGAAUGCCAGGUGUAGCGGUGAAAUGCGUAGAGAUCUGGAGGAAUACCGGUGGCGAAGGCGGCCCCCUGGACAAAGACUGACGCUCAGGUGCGAAAGCGUGGGGAGCAAACAGG
rnacentral:rRNA from 1 species